GAUGAACGCUGGCGGCGUGCCUAAUACAUGCAAGUCGAGCGAACGGACGAGAAGCUUGCUUCUCUGAUGUUAGCGGCGGACGGGUGAGUAACACGUGGAUAACCUACCUAUAGGACUGGGAUAACUUCGGGAAACCGGAGCUAAUACCGGAUAAUAUUUUGAACCGCAUGGUUCAAAAGUGAAAGACGGUCUUGCUGUCACUUAUAGAUGGAUCCGCGCUGCAUUAGCUAGUUGGUAAGGUAACGGCUUACCAAGGCAACGAUGCAUAGCCGACCUGAGAGGGUGAUCGGCCACACUGGAACUGAGACACGGUCCAGACUCCUACGGGAGGCAGCAGUAGGGAAUCUUCCGCAAUGGGCGAAAGCCUGACGGAGCAACGCCGCGUGAGUGAUGAAGGUCUUCGGAUCGUAAAACGCUGUUAUUAGGGAAGAACAUAUGUGUAAGUAACUGUGCACAUCUUGACGGGACCUAAUCAGAAAGCCACGGCUAACUACGU
rnacentral:rRNA from 1 species